rnacentral:tRNA from 2 species
AGGGGGAUAGCUCAAUUGGUCAGAGCACUGGUCUCAUAAACCAUAGGUUCCGGGUUCAAGUCCCGGUCCCCCUACCA